GGCUUGAACUUUGUCAUCUUGCCGAUGAAUUCACUCGACGGAAGACGUCUUUGGUGCUGCGAACUGGGCUGCUGCCAUUGAGCGAUACUCCGUACUUCUGCCGAAGCCGAACAUAUAUACUGAAAAUUUUGGGUUGUUGACUUUGCACUGUUUUUUGGAAGACUCCAGUCUGCUUAAUUUGAAUGCAAAUACUCCGUACCAUACGCUCGGACCUAAAGCUUGAAAGUCCAAAGUCACGGGUAAUUUAACUUGACUCCAAUGGGCUUUCAUUUGCUUGGGAAAUUUGCGCCUGCAUUGGCACCACCCUUAAACUUUGGAAAGCACAUUUUUAGGUAUUCUUCAUCUUUAUACCGUCUCAUGUUGUGGGGAGAAAACGACGAGCAGUGAUUCAGGCAGCCCCUUUGUCAAGUUAGAGCCUCUUUGGGAGGGCUUCACUUACGCAACUUCACUAGUGAAGCAGGUCAAGUUGUCUCAAACACCUCAAACUCCAUAUGUUAGGUGAAAUUUUGCUGGAGUCAAGAAAGUGGUGCUUCACCUGCUCCACUUCAUCUAAAGUUGAGGUAAUUUACCCGCCAAUGCCACUGAUGACCCCGCAACGUUAUCUUCCCGAACAGAACCUCCCUGUCUCCUCUUCCUCUCGCACCAGCGUGCGAUUCCUCGUGGCGGCGCACCCGGCCGUAGGAGAGGCCGCGCCCCUCUCCGGUGAGCCCUCGCUCUAUAUCCGGUGAGGCCCGCUCCCCACCUCCACAACCCCCAAGGAGCCGCAGCCCCUGCACCAGUAGGAUCAAGGCGCCGGCGCCGGCCCCUGUACCAGCAAGACCAAUACGUCGCCGCCGCCCCUGCUGCACCAGAUGUUGUCGGGGUCCCGGCCCCUCCAGCAGAACUCGAGGAGAGAUUACCCUGCCGCCACCGCGUCCAGGAACUCGCUGAUGCUGCCGCUCUUUGUUCAGCAGGACGUUGCCGCCUCACAACAACAAAGCUUGACUGAUUCCCGUGUGAUAUGUGAAGCAUGAAGAAGAAGAAAAAAGAAUAGAUUUGUUCCCGUACGGUCAAGGCCAUCAUGAAUCUGGAGCUAGCUAGGUAGCCAAACGCAUUUAGUUGGUGAAGUUGAGUGCAGGUGAAGUGGAGUUUAGAGACGAAGUGAAGUUUAGGUGGUGGAACCCUUCCAAACACACCCUUACAAUGGCAACGGAGGUGUUGCGUUGCUCGAAGAUUAUAAAUCUUCUGAUCUUCAGAUUUUGGCUGAGGGAAUGCUCUGCUUCCCUCCUUGAAGCCUGUCUAAGUAGUCUUACACCCCGUUUGGAUGUUGGUAUUGGAGCAAGGAAUUGGGAAAAAAAAUUAUCAAAGGGGUGGCCCCUGGUUUCAUUGAAGGAAA